rnacentral:rRNA from 1 species
GUUAGGAAUAUUCGUCAAUGGGGGAAACCCUGAACGAGCAAUGCCGCGUGAACGAUGAAGGUCCUUUGGAUCGUAAAGUUCUGUUGUUUGGGAAGAAUUGCCAGAGUAGGAAAUGACUUUGGUUUGACUGUACCAUUCGAGAAAGCCCCGGCUAACUACGUGCCAGCAGCCGCGGUAAUACGUAGGGGGCGAGCGUUAUCCGGAUUUAUUGGGCGUAAAGCGUGCGUAGGCUGUUUAUCAAGUCUAAGAUUAAAGCCCGAGGCUCAACCUCGGUUCGUCUUAGAAACUGGUAGACUUGAGUAUGGUAGAGGUAAAUGGAAUUUCUAGUGUAGCGGUAGAAUGCGUAGAUAUUAGAAGGAACACCAGUGGCGAAGGCGAUUUACUGGGCCAUUACUGACGCUGAGGCACGAAAGCGUGGGGAGCAAAUAGGA